rnacentral:rRNA from 1 species
CCCUUAGAUGUUCUGGGCCGCACGCGCGUUACACUGACCGGUGCAACAAGCAUCCGUCCUUGGCCGACAGGCCCGGGCAAUCUUUGAACGCCGGUCGUGAUGGGGAUAGACUUUUGCAAUUUUUGGUCUUCAACGAGGAAUUCCUAGUAAACGCAAGUCAUCAACUUGCAUUGAUUACGUCCCUGCCCUUUGUACACACCGCCCGUCGCACCUACCGAUUGAAUGGUCCGGUGAAGCCUCCGGAUUGGCGCGCACCUCGGUGCCGCCGAGAAGUUGGCUAAACCUUACCAUUUAGAGGAAGGUGAAGUCGUAACA